AGCGAACGCUGGCGGCAGGCCUAACACAUGCAAGUCGAACGGAUCCUUCGGGAUUAGUGGCGGACGGGUGAGUAACACGUGGGAAUGUGCCCUUUGGUUCGGAACAACUCAGGGAAACUUGAGCUAAUACCGGAUGUGCCCUUCGGGGGAAAGAUUUAUCGCCAUUGGAGCGGCCCGCGUCUGAUUAGCUAGUUGGUGAGGUAACGGCCCACCAAGGCGACGUUCAGCAGCUGGUCUGAGAGGAUGAUCAGCAACACUGGGACUGAGACACGGCCCAGACUCCUACGGGAGGGAGCAGUGGGGAAUCUUGCGCAAUGGGCGAAAGCAUGACGCAGCCAUGCCGCGUGAAUGAUGAAGGUCUUAGGAUUGUAAAAUUCUUUCAGCGGGGACGAUAAUGACGGUACCCGCAGAAGAAGCGCCGGCUAACUUCGUG
rnacentral:rRNA from 1 species